rnacentral:lncRNA from 1 species
AUACACCAGCAGUUCAGUUCAGUAGAGUCAAGAUAGCAAACACAAUCAGCACCAGUGGCACUGCCUAGCAGAGACAUCCAAGCCUCAGCCUGGAUACAAGUCAGCAAGAGGGACCAGCAGGAACACCAGGAGUUCUCAGCUGUGCCUCUCUCAGCAAAGCAAAGAUCAAAGAUCAGCGAAGACUCAAGACCCAAGACAAGCAUUGCACCACUAGCUCUACACACAAGCUUAGCUCAGCCUCCGUCACUGUCCCUUGAGUUCGAUUUAUAUUCCCUCCAAACAUCACGUGUCCUCCACAGGUCUUACCUCAACAUGUGUCUUCCCUUGGUGUGUGCAUCCAUCUCAGCUGACAUCACUCUGCCAAUCACCUGGAGUCUGAAGAAACAGCACGAAAUUACAGCGCACCACCAGAAGUUCUCUCUAUGGAGUCCCAGUAAAUGGAGCUCAACUGCACAAUGUAAAGUGGACCGAUGCAGGCUUGUCGUUAGUGAAGCAUCCUUAGCAGAACAUCCUUUCCCUUAUGUCUGCUUCAAUGAAACAUUCCUUCACAAGUCUGCCUUAGCCUUCCACCUGUGUCCACUUCAAAACACCAUCCAACACAACUGGCUUUCCAAAGAUCCCUUAAGUUUCCACUUCAAGCAAGAUGUGUGGCUGCAUCCAAGUGACCACACUACAAGCCUGGAACGUGACCACAGAGAUCUGAUGUUGCAUUGCCAGUACACUGGUCUAGAGAGACAACCAGACUGAAGACGCUUGGACCCCCACCUCUCACAUGAGCCGUUCUCAUCCCUGACUUGAUUGCUUCCACCUGAUGGGUUAUGUAAGCAAGAAAUAGCCUCUUCCUUAUUCAAACCACUGACUUCUGGAAUGGGGAAAAUGCAAAGAAGAAAAUCACUUUCAUGUUACCCUUACGUCUUAUCUACUUCUCUUUCUGUGAAGGCACACCAUGACCAAGGCAGCUCAUGAAAGAAAGCAUUUAAUCAGGGGCCUGCUUACGGUUCCGUAGGGCUAGUCCAUGGUCAUCAUGGUGCGGGAGCAUGACGGCUGGGAUGGUGCUGGAGCAGUAGCUAAGAACUUACCUCCUGGUCCACAGAUAGGAAGCAGAAAGAGAACUAGGCUGGGCCAGAAGUGGGCUUUUGAAACCUCAUAGCCUACCUGCAGUGACACACUUCCUCCACCAAGGCCACACACAUACCUCUAAUCCUUUCUAAAGAGUCCAUCUAUUGGGAACCAAACAUUAAACUAUAUGAGCUUGUGACAGUCAUUCUCUUCUAAACCACUACAA